rnacentral:rRNA from 1 species
CACGUAGGGCGCGAGCGUUGUCCGGAAUCAUUGGGCGUAAAGCGCGUGUAGGCGGCCCGGUAAGUCAGCUGUGAAAGUCAAAGGCUCAACCUUUGAAUGCCGGUGGAUACUGUCGGGCUAGAGUCCGGAAGAGGCGAGUGGAAUUCCUGGUGUAGCGGUGAAAUGCGCAGAUAUCAGGAGGAACACCAAUGGCGAAGGCAGCACUCUGGGACGUGACUGACGCUGAGACGCGAAAGCGUGGGGAGCAAACAGG